rnacentral:rRNA from 1 species
UACGGGGGGGGCAAGCGUUGUUCGGAAUUACUGGGCGUAAAGGGCUCGUAGGCGGCCAACUAAGUCAGACGUGAAAUCCCCAGGCUUAACCUGGGAACUGCGUCUGAUACUGGAUGGCUUGAAUUCGGGAGAGGGAUGCAGAAUUCCAGGUGUAGCGGUGAAAUGCGUAGAUAUCUGGAGGAAUACCGGUGGCGAAGGCGGCAUCCUGGACCGACAUUGACGCUGAACGGCGAAAGCUAGGGGAGCAAACAGG